GUUUAAUUUACAAUAAAGGAAGAAGAAUCAACAAAUAUAUCACAACAGUGGAUCCAAUCAAGGAAGGAACACUUUUAACACCAACACAAAAAUCAUGUAAUUUAAACCCCAACACAGAAAUCAUGUAAUGUCAAACCGGAACUUAAGAAAACCAGAAGGAUGAAAAAUAAAGCUCUCUUUAAACCUGAUAACAAACAUCUAUAAGGAUUAUAAACGUUAUGUUGUGCUUCAUUUUAUUGAGCACAAUGAAGUCGAGGUAGCCCCAUCCACAUGGCUGGAAUGGAAUAAUGAGGUAAGACUCCAAUAUUUACAGUGUACAAAUAUGGUAAACAUUAAACAGGCUCAUGUAAAUACAUUUGAAAGUAGAAACAAAUACAUUUGUUUAUUUCUUAAAGGCAUUGUAUUGCUAUUGGCCUCACGCAAACACUGGUAGCAUGGUCAAAAAAUGUGCCAUACCAGAUAAGGAGCUAUGGGCUAGAUUUCAUGUCAGAGUACUUUCUGAAACAGGUAACGUACACAAAAUAAUACCUUGCAUACUUUAUAAUAAAAUGGCAAACAUUUCUAUGAUAAGUUAUAUGCUGUGGUAAACAGAUAUGAUGUGGCAAGAUAUCGGGCUAGAAAAGGUCAGGAAACCUCUCAUGUUGAGGACUCAGAUGGGACUAAGGGAAGAAAAAUAAUUCCUCCAAGAAUCUUCAGAGACGAAGAGGUCCAGCCUCCCCAGCACCAAAGGGCAAAACAGACUCAACUAUGCAAGUUUACAUAACAUAAAUUAAAAAAGAAUUAUACUGUAAUGUACAUGAAUUUUGUCUUUCAAUAGUAAAUGUUUUUGUUUUGUUUUGCAGUUCAUGAGACUAGUGAAUCUACUCAAGGUAGUUUCAUUGUGGUGUAUUCAUUUCACUAAAAUCAGUUUAAAAAAUCUAUGGUUUAAAAGCAGAAUGAUUAAUUUAUGACAGAAUCAUGAUUACUUGUUCUUAAACUAUAUCAUGUAAUAAUUUGUUUUGACUAUUUCCUUUGGCACAGAAGAUGAAAUUCCCAGCUUUCAACAAAAACAAAGAAAGCGAGAUUAGAAUCUACAUCUGAGUGCAAGUAAAAAAUAUAUAUAUAACUGUUGAACACAAAAUAUACUAUUGAGAUGUCUUACACUGGGUUAUUUCAACCCAGCACUAGGCCAAAAAGGGACAAAUUCAACCUUUGGGUUAAAUUAGCCCAACAAAUGAUUAUAUUUGACACAACAAUAGGUUAAACAACCCAGCAUUUUGGAUUAAAACAACCCAGCAUAGGUCAAAUUAUGACCCAACAGGUUGGGUUCCUCACAUUUUGACCCAACACCUGGUUGAAAAUAACCCAGCAUUUUUUGAAGUGUACAUAAUCACUAUCAUUGUUUUUCAGCUGAUGAUACUGAUAAAGCUAGGGCUUUUCCACUGUUAUUUAGUUUUUAUACAUUUUACUUAAUGUGAUUUAUUUUUUACUUGGUUCUUAAUCUUUGUUAGAUAAACAGCUGGAGCCACAAAGAAAAACACAAAAGCGCUCCUCUGUGAUGCUGCCAAAUGCUCCUUCUUGUGAGUAUAUUUAUGAGUUUUGGUUUAAAACAUAAGUGUUAUAAUAUUUCAAUAUACUAUAGCACUGAUGGUAAUCGAAUACUUCCUGAUUGUAAUGUUAAACCUGCAAUUUCUGUAAAGCUGCUUUGAAACAAAAUAUAUA